CCUACGGGUGGCUGCAGUGGGGAAUAUUGGGCAAUGGGCGCAAGCCUGACCCAGCAACGCCGCGUGAAGGAAGAAGGCUUUCGGGUUGUAAACCUCUUUCCUCAGGGACGAAGAAAGUCACUGUAUCUGAGGAAUAAGCCACCGCUAACUACGUGCCAGCAGCCGCGGAUACACGUAGGUGGCAAGCGUUAUCCGGAUUUAGUGGGUGUAAAGGGCGUGUAGGCGGGGAAGCAAGUCAGAUGUGAAAACCACGGGCUCAACCUGUGGCCUGCAUUUGAAACUGUAUUUCUUGAGGACUGGAGAGGCAGGCGGAAUUCCUAGUGUAGCGGUGAAAUGCGUAGAUAUUAGGAGGAACACCAGUGGCGAAGGCGGUCUGCUGGACAGCAACUGACGCUGAGGCGCGAAAGCGUGGGGAGCAAACAGGAUUAGAUACCCGUGUAGUC
rnacentral:rRNA from 1 species